CCUUCACUAGAUUAACUUGGGCGUAAAGUCAUAACUAUGGCAACUGGCCGUGUGCAUUAGCUUUCUGGCUAGGUAGCAACUUGGCAUCUUAGCACAUCAUAGUAAGCUAGAUCGAUAUUGAAAUAUCAUAUCAAUAAAUUCGGUCUCUACUGGAUUACCGUGUAGCUAUAUGACAUGCAGUUAAUGAAAUGUUAUGCUGAGGGGCAGAAAAACGACAGUUUUACCAUUAGUGAGUAUAAUGCUGUGACAGCUCUACACCUAGCCUGUGUGAUUUUAACUCUUAGUUUUUAUGUAAGUUAACUAGGCUAAGUUUGAACACAUCUGCUGUAACAGGCUGCUCAGCACCUCCUCUGUAAGUUACUGAAGUUACUAACCAUUUCACAAAGAGCACCAGUGACAUAACAAACCAGGAUUAAUUUCAGGACUGAAGGACAGGGAUGGGAUGAAGCCCACUUCAAACUUGGAACAUGUAAGUUGUGGACUUUAUAUGCAGUUUUACUGUUAUACAGUAUGUAUAACUUGCCACUAGCAUGCUGCGAGGCUAAUGUGGUUAGUGUCUGUUCCACACACUAUGGAGGAAUUGUGUGAAUGUUGAGCCUUGUAUGAAGUAAAUUAAAUAACCACAGUAACGUUAGUAGGUGUGGUAAAUGUUAGUGGGAUUUUUCUGCAAAGCUAACAUUAGCUCCGCGGCUAACACGGCUAACGUUAGCCAUGUUAGCAUUAAGCCCGUCAAAACACCACAGUAGUCGGUUACUUUUUGUGGAACUACUGUAACGCUAACGUUAGCUCUUCUUAUUAAGCUGUCGAUGUUCGCUGGUAACGUUAUGUGGGUCUGUUGUGAUAUGCAUGGUGAUGGCGCAAUGGAUAAGACGCCUGCCUUUGGUGUGAAAGACCCGGGUUCAAUCUCCCACUGUGACCCAGCCGCCAUUGUGUUCCGACCUCUGACAUGUAUAGCAAUUGUAAGUCGCCUGAUCGACUCUGGCCCUGUUUCAGAAAGCAGGUUCAACAAACUCUUGAGUGUAAACCUGAACUCUGAGCUUUCAGAAAGUUCAGUCAACUCUGAGUAUGUUGAGUCUGAUGGAAAAAAGCCAUCAUCAAUGGAGCUCCGAUACUGCGAUUCACCACGACAACGGGUAAAUAAAGGCAGAAACUCCAUUUUAAUCCGGUGGAGCUAGAAAUGUGAAUGCGUGCCAACGUGGACCAUAAUGCUCCAAAACGCAAGAUCGAUACGUUAACAAUAUUACAUUUUAAACAGCUACAGGCCUGUUUAUUCAGCUGUAACCUGACGGGACUAAAUGCUGGUGGGAAUAAUUGAAGAUGAAAAUAUUAAUCGAACAGAUUCUAAUCUGUGAUUGUAAAGUGACAGUCAGACUCAGUAGGCCUAUUAAUGAUUUUUUUGCAAUGUAAAAUGUGUCUAGGUUCAAACUGACUGUGAAGUUUUAGACAUCUAUGUUCGAAUAAUAAAAUCGUGCUCAUUUUGUAUUUUAUGAAAUGCUGUCAAAACAAAUUCAGACAGCAGAUAAUAAAAAACUCACUUUUAAACUACAUUUAUUUAUUAUUUCAGCUGCACCACAGUCAUCCUCACUCAGAAAUAUUCACAUCAUAUCCAGUUGAUAACUACGAUAGGAAUGUUCAAUCAGUGCGACUACAACUUAAGAUGAAAGGUUACUGUUCAUUGAUCAGUUUUAUACAGUCUACUUUAAACAGUCAUUACUGUAGCGCAGGGUAAGUGUUUUACCUUAAUGUCCACAGAGUCACUGUAUUAUAAAGGACAGUGUAGUUUAUAUAUUUUAUUCUGUGCUGAAAUUAAAUGUACAAUGUCCAGCUCUCUGUCCAUACCUCGAUGACAGAUUGAUCAUAAAAGCGUCAUAUUCAAGAUCAUGUUUGGGUAAAAAAAAACAACUAAUGGCCUAUUUAACCGUGAUUUCGAUGUUUCCAAAGACGUAAUUGCGUUCCAAUAUGUGCUUUGAUAUCGACAGUAUAAUUGAGGAAAUGACACGGUGUGUGUGAUACUAGUAUCAGUGACAAUGCUGCAGCUCUGUUACAGGUCCAGUGUAAUAAAUAUGGGAAAACUGCUCUUCUGCUACAUUCCUGUAGCCUGGCAGUGCAUUAUAAACAAGAGUCUCACUUACUUAUAAAUGAGCUUUUGGUUAGUCACACCACCAUUUACAGCCAGAUUCAAAUGCUCUGUGUAAUUCAUUUUCCAUCUAUACUUGAUAAAAAUUAUGUGUUACAAUUCUUUUGCACUUUUUGUAGCCAUUGCUACAAGAGCUCUGCAACCUUGAAUUGUUACAAUAAAUAAACCUUCAUAAGAGGUUGUUGUUAGCUCCGCUAGGCCAAAUUGUAAAUUGAGUAAUGGGAUGUUAUGAAUUGGCUAAAUGAGCAAGAGACAUGUAUGGAACUUUAAAUAUCUUUAUUGCUCAGUAGUGUUUCCUUUAUUGUGCAGAAUAUGGCAUGGUGCAGCAUAAAUAUUUAAAUGCAAAUGUUUGUUUGUAUGUCUGUUGCCAUAAUCACAAAUUUGAGAUGACCAGACAGACCCACCACAGAGACAAACCACCAGGAUAGCAGAUGAAUCAGAAGUACAGGUUUCCAGUAUAAUAUAUGAGGACUACUUCAAACUAUUUCUAACUAUUAACCUCAGGUGGCCUGAUUUUGUGAGCAGUGACCUCCAGAGCUUAGAUUCUCAGAUUACAUGCACUCACUGAGGCCGAUAGUAAUUGUCAGGGUAGGAUGUCCGAUGUGAAACAUUAGUCAUGUAAAUAUUUCUAGUAAAAAGAUACCCCAUAAAUGUGCAAAGUCAUCAGAAUGAUAAAUAGUGAUUAUGAUUAUUGCUUUGGACCACUAACACUUACCAUGAGGCAGAAACAUGCACGGAAUAGGCAUAGCUGAAUUACUGAGCUUACAAAGUAAUGUGCUACUGUGUACUAUUUACUUGAAAAGUAGCUCAGUAAUCAAAGUAUCUGCAGCUACUGAACCAUGUGUAUGUUUCAAAUUAACCUGGAUAUUUUCACUUAAAGUUUGUCAGACAAUCAUUGGCAUGUUUAAAAAUACUUUAUCAAACUGUUACAAAGAAUAUAAUUUAUAUUGUGAUCUGUCAACGCCAUAAUAAAGUUCAUGAAAUGAGA